AACCGAGAACUCCUACGGGAGGCAGCAGUGGGGAAUUUUGGACAAUGGGUGCAAGCCUGAUCCAGCAAUGCCGCAUGCAGGAAGAAGGCCUUCGGGUUGUAAACUGCUUUUGUCAGGGAAGAAAUCCUUUGGGCUAAUACCUCGGAGGGAUGACGGUACCUGAAGAAUAAGCACCGGCUAACUACGUGCCAGCAGCCGCGGUAAUACGUAGGGUGCGAGCGUUAAUCGGAAUUACUGGGCGUAAAGCGUGCGCAGGCGGCUUUGCAAGACAGAGGUGAAAUCCCCGGGCUCAACCUGGGAACUGCCUUUAUGACUGCAAGGCUAGAGUACGGCAGAGGGGGAUGGAAUUCCGCGUGUAGCAGUGAAAUGCGUAGAUAUGCGGAGGAACACCGAUGGCGAAGGCAAUCCCCUGGGCCUGUACUGACGCUCAUGCACGAAAGCGUGGGGAGCAAACAGGAUUAGAAACCCCUGUAGUCCGACUGAGA
rnacentral:rRNA from 1 species